rnacentral:rRNA from 1 species
CCUACGGGAGGCAGCAGUGAGGAAUAUUGGUCAAUGGCCGGAAGGCUGAACCAGCCAUGCCGCGUGAAGGUCAGUGCCCUAUGGGCGUUAAACUUCUUUUGUGCGGGAGCAAUAAUGGUCACGUGUGGACAGACGAGCGUACUGUCCGAAUAAGCAUCGGCUAACUCCGUGCCAGCAGCCGCGGUAAUACGGGGGGUGCAAGCGUUAUCCGGAUUUAUUGGGUUUAAAGGUGCGUAGGCUGUGAGGUAAGUCAGCGGUGAAAUGCCUACGCUCAACGGGGUGAAGUGCCAUUGAUACUGCCAUGCUGGAAUGCGGAGGCCGUGGGAGGAAUGUGUGGUGUAGCGGUGAAAUGCAUAGAUAUCACAAAGAACACCGAUUGCGAAGGCAUCUCACGAAUCCGCGAUUGACGCUGAUGCACGAAAGCGUGGGUAUCAAACAGGAUUAGAUACCCGAGUAGUC